UAACGUACUGCGGAGUACAUGUAUGUUGUACUGCUGUACGUAGUAUAAAAUUGCUAUUGCUAUCACUACUUUUAAGUAAAUACACCACCAUACACGAGCAACCGGUUUCUGUUGAGCCAGUCACCAGUGCAGUGACGGCAAGUUAUGAGCAAUUCAGAAAUUAGCUGUUGACGUGCAUGUACACAGGCCUACAUACAUCCCAUACAACUUUCACCAUGGACUCGACAAAGAUGAAGACACCACACAUCCUGUGUACAUCGAAAUGGAUGAAAAAUCGACACAUGU